UACAGAGGUCUCAAGCGUUGUUCGGAUUCAUUGGGCGUAAAGGGUGUGUAGGUGGCGCGGUAAGUCGGGUGUGAAAUUUCGGAGCUUAACUCCGAAACUGCAUUCGAUACUGCCGUGCUUGAGGACUGGAGAGGAGACUGGAAUUUACGGUGUAGCAGUGAAAUGCGUAGAGAUCGUAAGGAAGACCAGUGGCGAAGGCGGGUCUCUGGACAGUUCCUGACACUGAGGCACGAAGGCCAGGGGAGCAAACGGG
rnacentral:rRNA from 1 species